rnacentral:misc_RNA from 1 species
AAGGGCUGAGGAGCCUGUAUAAAAGGUUUCUGCUGCUGAAGCAGCCCAGGGCGAAGAUGAUCCAGUCCAGUGAGCGGCCACCCUUUUAAAGUCAAAUUGUUACUGCCUUGAUUUGAUCCAGGAAUUCCUAUUAAUGCUUCUGGACCAGCAGCUCUGUGAUUUAUUAGUGGGUUGGUCUCACUCUUUAUGUCUGGUGUGGACCCUUGAAGUUGUUGAUUUCUAGCCUGAACCUGUGGGGACAUUCCACCAGCUGUACCAUGUAACACUUGGCCUGAUGGCUGGCCAGUUCCUGCAGACUUCAAUAUUGAGGCAUGAUUUGGAUCUAAAAGCUGGCCAACAUUCUCACUGAAUCUUUGCUUCAUUGCUGCAUCAUCCAAAGAAUCCCUCUGAAUUGGUAGUUUUAAUCUUUCCUCAUACAUCUUUGUCGCCAAGGCAUUUGCAGUUCCAGGGCUUUGACGCAAGAGAGGAUCAUUUCCCACAAGUCCAUUUGCAGUACCAUUUAGAAGGUGAGUACCAUCCCUUCGCUGCUGUUGCUGUUGCUGGGGAGGCUGUUGCUGCUGUUGCUGUUGUUGCUGCUGCUGCUGGUGCUGUUGUUGUUGUUGUUGUUGCUGCUGCU